rnacentral:rRNA from 1 species
CCUACGGGUGACAGCAGUGAGGAAUAUUGGUCAAUGGCCGGAAGGCUGAACCAGCCAAGCCGCGUGAAGGACGAAGGUGCCAAGCAUUGUAAACUUCUUUUGUCAAGGGACAAAAUCAGGCUCGAGAGCCUGACCGAGGGUACUUGAAGAACAAGCAUCGGCUAACUCCGUGCCAGCAGCAGCGGUAAUACGGGGGAGACGAGCGUUAUCCGGAUUUAUUGGGGUUAAGGGGUGCGUAGUCGGACUGUUAAGUCAGCGGUAAAAGCCCGGGGGUCAACCCCGGCGAGCCGUUGAAACUGGCUGUCUUGAGAUGUCGAGAGGUAUGCGGAAUGCGGAGUGUAGCGGUGAAAUGCUUAGAUAUUGCGCAGAACUACGAUUGCGAAGGCAGCAUACCGGCGGCGAGCUGACGCUGAGGCACGAAAGCGUGGGUAUCGAACAGGAUUAGAUACCCUUGUAGUC